UACGUAGGGUGCGAGCGUUAAUCGGAAUUACUGGGCGUAAAGCGUGCGCAGGCGGUGAUGUAAGACAGAUGUGAAAUCCCCGGGCUCAACCUGGGAACUGCAUUUGUGACUGCAUCGCUGGAGUGCGGCAGAGGGGGAUGGAAUUCCGCGUGUAGCAGUGAAAUGCGUAGAUAUGCGGAGGGACACCGAUGGCGAAGGCAAUCCCCUGGGCCUGCACUGACGCUCAUGCACGAAAGCGUGGGGAGCAAACAGG
rnacentral:rRNA from 1 species